rnacentral:rRNA from 1 species
CUGGUUGAUCCUGCCAGUAGUCAUAUGCUUGUCUCAAAGAUUAAGCCAUGCAUGUCUCAGUGCAUGCCGAAUUAAGGUGAAACCGCGAAUGGCUCAUUAAAUCAGUUAUGGUUCAUUAGAUUGUACCCACAUUUACUUGGAUAACUGUGGUAAUUCUAGAGCUAAUACAUGCAAAACAGAGUCCCGACCAGUGAUGGAAGGGACGCUCUUAUUAGAUCAAAACCG